rnacentral:lncRNA from 1 species
GACAUCAGAUAAUAUUUGAACAGAUUAUUCAAAUAAGACUUUACUUAGCCUUAGCCUUUUGAAUGUGUUUUGAAACACAAAAAGAAUAUCUUUGCAGCAUAUGCACAGACUCAUCUUUAUGCAUUGCAUAAUGGAAUAAUUUUGUUUCCUUAGCAGUGUGAUGGGGUUGAGGAAGGUGAAUACUCUAUCAUUUGCUUUUCUCAGUUUUACAGCUAAAUUCACAACCAGAAGCAAGGGAGGAAGAAAGGGUUCAUUUUAACUCCUGGUUCAGAGCAUACAGCCCAUCAGGACAGGGAAGCGGAGGUGGCAAGAAGAGCUUAUAUGUGACAGGGCAGGGAUUUGCUCACCAAGGUGGCCAGAAAGCAGAGAAAAAAAAUGCAAUCAUCCCCCCCCCUUUUUUUUUCCUAUUCCUUUUUAAAUUCAAUCUGUCUAGAACUCAUGGGUUGAUGCUGCCAAUAAUCAGGGUGUGUCUUCCCCCUCUGAAGCUGCUGUUCAGACAUGCAGACAGCCUUUGUCUCUGAGGUGAUUCAAACCCCAGCCAGGAAGACAGUCAUAUCAUUAACUAGAAUUAUCUCUGUUACUAACAAUAUUCUAGUAAAAGGUUAUACAUUUAUUUACAGUUGUAAUUAACACACUCUUUUGAAAAUAUUCCUCCAUAAGAAGUAUUUCAGAGAUAGGCUCUCUUCAUUAUAAUAUGGCUCAGGACCAGGUGAUAUGGCUACAGACUAUAUGACAAUUCCAAACUGAUUUCUUUUCUUCCUUAGUAUACAGACAUUGGACAUCACGCAGAAUGAACACGUGUCUAUGUCCUGUCAUUUGCUUUGGCUAGGACUAUGAAUUCUCUAAAUCAGCUCAAAUGGAGACCAGAUCCUUGGCAGGCCCUUUGUAAAAUAUAUCUGUAUCUUAAUGUGAUAGAGUAAUAAUAAAGAGAACAAUGCACUAAAAACUCUACCAAAAUCAAAAUUAAAUAUGAUUACUAUAGGUGUGAGAUGAGUUAACUCA